GACGAACGCUGGCGGCGUGCCUAAUACAUGCAAGUCGAACGCAGUGGGGACGGGUGAGUAACCCGUGGGUAACCUCCCAUCAGAGGGGAUAACCCUUGGAAACAGGUGCUAAACCGAUAUUGCUGGUUGGUACCGCGGUGCCUUAGCUAGUUGGUGAGGUAACGGCGGACCAAGGCCACGAUGCAUAGCGGGCCUGAGAGGGUGAUCGGCCACACUGGGACUGAGACACGGCCCAGACUCCUACGGGAGGCAGCAGUAGGGAAUCUGCGGCAAUGGACGAAAGUCUGACCGAGCAAUGCCGCGUGAGUGAAGAAGGUUUUCGGAUCGUAAAACUCUGUUGGUAGAGAAGCGGUAUCUAACCAGAAAGCCACGGCUAACUACGUGCCAGCAGCCGCGGUAAUAC
rnacentral:rRNA from 1 species